rnacentral:rRNA from 1 species
ACGAACGUUGGCGGCGUGCUUAAUACCUGCAAGUCAACUGAAGCAGUGGUAGCAAUAUCGCUGUGGAGGUGGCGCACGGGUGAGUAACACGUAGGUAAUCUGCCUUCAGGUCUGGCAUAACUCCGGGAAACCGGGGCUAAUAGCAGAUGAUGCAGCGGCUCGACAUCGAGACAGUUGUUAAAGCUAUGGCGCCUGAAGAUGAGCCUGCGUCUGAUUAGCUAGUUGGCGGGGUAACGGCCCACCAAGGCAACGAUCAGUAGCUGGUCUGAGAGGAUGAUCAGCCACACUGGAACUGAGACACGGUCCAGACUCCUACGGGAGGCAGCAGUAAGGAAUAUUGCUCAAUGGGAGAAAUCCUGAAGCAGCAACGCCGCGUGAGGGACGAAGGGCUUUUGCUUGUAAACCUCUGUAGUGAGAGAAAAAAAUCCCAAUCUUUGGGACAUGAUGGUAUCUCAAAAGUAAGCCCCGGCUAACUACGUG